rnacentral:rRNA from 1 species
UUGGAGGGCAAGUCUGGUGCCAGCAGCCGCGGUAAUUCCAGCUCCAAUAGCGUAUAUUAAAGUUGUUGCAGUUAAAAAGCUCGUAGUUGAAUUUCGGGAUUGGCGCAUCGGUCGUGCCUCACGGGGUAUGAACUGGUGCAGUCAAUUUCUCACCUUCUGGAGAACCGCGAUGUCCUUAAUUGGAUGCCGCGGGGAACCAGGACCUUUACUUUGAGAAAAUUAGAGUGUUUAAAGCAGGCAUUUUUGCUUGAAUACAUUAGCAUGGAAUAAUAAAAUAGGACGGCAUGGUUCUAUUUUGUUGGUUUCUAGGACCACCGUAAUGAUUAAUAGGGAUAGUUGGGGGCAUUAGUAUUCAAUUGUCAGAGGUGAAAUUCUUGGAUUUAUUGAAGACUAACUACUGCGAAAGCAUUUGCCAAGGAUGUUUUCAUUAAUCAAGAACGAAAGUUAGGGGAUCGAAGACGAUCAGAUACCGUCGUAGUCUUAACCAUAAACUAUGCCGACUAGGAAUCAGACGAUGUUAGUUUUUUAAUGACUCGUUUGGCACCUUACGGGAAACCAAAGUGUUUGGGUUC